rnacentral:rRNA from 1 species
AUGGCGGAGAUUGUGAUUCUUCUAGCCAUUAGAAAGAUUGGAAUUGCCUUGGCAAAGGCAGCGGAAGACCAGGCCAGCGUACAGUUUGGAAGGUAUGGCACACUACUACUAGAACUACAGGGCAGUAUGGGCCGUGUUGGUAGGGAGCUUCGCAUAAUGCAUGAUGUUCUAUGUCAAAUGGACAUUCGUAGUCACAACAAUCAAGUAUAUGAGGGCUGGUUGGAGGAGGUACAGAAAGUAGCAUAUGUGAUGGAGGACAUGGUGGAUGAGUACUUGUAUCUUGUUGGUCGGGAACAUGAUAUUGGUUGUUGUUUCUUUCUGAAGAAGGGUUUCAAGAAGCCAAGAUCUUUGCUUUCUUUGAACAGGAUAGCUUCCAAGGUGAAGGAAAUAGAGAAAGACCUUUCACACCUGUCAGAUGCAAAAAACCGUUGGGUUCCCAUAAUAAACAACAGGGAAGACAACUCAAAUUACAUUGUCAAGAGAUCCCAAGAUCUAGCAAACAUUUCACGCUCCCUUGAUGAAGAAGAUCUAGUGGGGGUGGAUGAAAACAGAGAGAAACUUGAGCAGUGGUUGGGAGCUGAUGAUCUGGAGUGCUCUAUGAUAGCUCUGCUCGGAAUGGGAGGUCUUGGUAAAACCGCUUUAGCUGCAAAUGUCUACAAUAAGGAGAGGGAGAAAUUCCAGUGCUACGCCUGGGUCUCCAUCUCUCAAACUUAUUCUAGAGAAGAUGUCUUGAGAAAUAUAAUUAAGGAACUUUUUAAAGAUAAUGGCAGUGUUCUAUCUAGCACUCUAGCUAUGGAUAUCAUGAGCCUUGAAGAGACACUAAAGAAAUAUCUGGAGCAACAGAAGUAUCUUAUCGUAUUGGAUGAUGUUUGGACUCCAGAAGCAUUUGAUGAUUUGUCUGGGGCACUUCCUCAUAAUGAUAAGGGUAGUAGACUGAUAAUCACGACAAGGGAAGGCGAUGUUGCUGCACUUGCCUCUCAGGGACAUAUCUUAACACUUGAAGCUUUACAAAAAGACAAGGCAUGGGAUCUCUUUUGUAAGAAAGCCUUUCCAAAAGAUACAAACCAUGAAUGUCCUACAGAAUUGAAGCCAUUGUCCGAGGAAAUAGCUAGCAAGUGCAAAGGCUUGCCUCUUGCUAUUGUGUCAGUUGGUAGCCUCUUGCGUGUGCGUGAGAAAACCAUGGAAGAAUGGAGAAGGAUAAAUGAUCAACUGAGCUGGGAGAUAAUCAAUAAUUCAAGGCUCGACCAUAUAAGGAAUGUUUUGUAUUUGAGCUUCAUCUACCUUCCAACAUACUUGAAAAGUUGUUUCUUGUACUGCAGUCUAUUUCCAGAAGACUAUGUUUUACACAGGAAACAACUUGCACGGUUAUGGGCAGCAGAGGGGUUUGUCGAGGAGAGGGGUGAAAGCACAUUAGAAGAAGUGGCGGAGGGCUAUUUAAAGGAGUUGGUUGACAGAAACAUGUUACAACUUAUCAAGAGGAACACAUUUGGUAGGAUGAAGACAUUCCGAAUGCAUGAUAUCUUGCGUGACUUGGCAUUGGACUUGUGCCAAAAGAACUGCUUUGGUGUUACUUAUGACAAUAAAUGUGAGGGGUCUCUUGAGAUGGUUGGACGACGGUUGGUAGUCCACAAACUAAAGAAGAAGAAGAAGAAUCAGCCAAUUUUUGGUAUACACCAACUUCGUACAGUGAUUACAUUGGACAAUAGCAUGCCCUCAUCCACUAUACCUUUGCUAUUCACGGAGUCAAGAUAUAUGACAGUGCUAGAAUUGCAUGGUCUGCCCAUUGAGAAGAUUCCAGAUGCUAUUGGCGAUCUUUUUAAUCUCCGCCAUUUGAGUUUGCGCGGUUCAAAGGUGAAGAUGCUCCCGAAGUCUAUUGAGAAGCUUUCAAAUUUGUUGACACUUGACCUUUAUGAAUCUGAUAUACAUGAGUUGCCUAGUGGGAUUGUGAAACUGAAGAAGCUCAGGCACUUAUUUGCUGAGAGAGUAAUUGAUUCAAAUUGGAGAGAGCUUGCAAGUUGCAGUGGUGUGCAUAUCCCUAAUGGACUUGGAAAUCUAAUAAACCUUCAGACGCUACAAACAUUGGAAUUAGAGGAUGAUUCUGUUGGACAUUUAGGGGAGCUGAGGCAAUUGAGAAGCUUGAGGUUAUUGAAUGUGAAGGGAAUCUACUGUAGAAGUAUCAGUGAGUCUCUAGUUAAGAUGCAGUAUUUGUCCUUCCUAGAUGUGAUUGCAAGUGAUGAGAAGGAGGUGCUCCUGUUGAAUGUCCGUCUGCCAAACCUGUGGAAGCUAACUAUGAGAGGACGAUUAGCCGAAGGGGUGUUGGAUGAGUCUCCUCUGUUCCAAGCUGCUGGGGGGCAGAACUUGUAUAAAUUGCAUCUAUCUUGGUCACAGCUGAGAGAAGACCCCCUGCCAUCCCUUUCUCGGUUGUCAAACUUGACAUUUCUAGAUUUCACCAGAGCAUACAAUGGAGAGCAUUUGGCAUUUCUCACAGGAUGGUUUCCCAAGCUAGAGAUUCUCUCUCUGGAAGACCUGCCUAAUCUGAAUCGGCUAGAUAUACAGCAAGGUGCCAUGGCAAGCCUGGAAAAAUUAUACUUGGUCAACCUGAGCAGCAUGACGGAGGUCCCAGCUGGCAUUGAGUUCCUCCUGCCCCUCCAGCGUCUAGCCUUCUACGAGAUCAGCAGUGACUUCUUGACCUUGCUGCGCCAAUGGUCCACAACGCCAAGCCAGCAGUAUCACUAUUCUCUCCGAGACUGA